UACGUAGGGUGCGAGCGUUGUCCGGAAUUAUUGGGCGGAAAGAGCUUGUAGGCGGUUUGUCGCGUCUGCUGUGAAAAUCCGGGGCUCAACCCCGGACUUGCAGUGGGUACGGGCAGACUGGAGUGUGGUAGGGGAGACUGGAAUUCCUGGUGUAGCGGUGGAAUGCGCAGAUAUCAGGAGGAACACCGGUGGCGAAGGCGGGAUCCUGGGCCAGUACUGACGCUGAGGAGCGAAAGCGUGGGGAGCAAACAGG
rnacentral:rRNA from 1 species